rnacentral:lncRNA from 1 species
GUCAGAGACCACCCCUUCUGCGCCUCCAUAUAAACCCCACCCAGCCAGCCCUGAGCGCAGACGGCGGAGGCUGGGAGGCAGCGCGCCUCGGCCCGCCGGCCUUGGCCGCAGCUCCCCGGGAGAAGCGGGGCGCCCACACGAGAGUCUCCCCACCCGGGUCUCUUCAGGGAUGACAUCAUCCGUUCACCUCCACGUCUUCGAGGACCGCCUCUCGAUGCCAUGCUGCUGCCAAGAGGGCACUUGGAGACCCGACCCCUGGAUGGAAGCAGCGUCCAGAGAGACCCCCCACGGCCGCCUCGGGACCAGGGUGCCGAAGGAUGAAGAGGACCAGGACCGACCAGCCAGCUCUCCCUCUUGGCUAAAUGCUCAAACCAGUGCCCUACGCUCCAGGCAGCCCCUCCCCACGGGGCUCUCCUUUGCACCAGGCCCGCCAGCUGUGGCCUGGCCGGGUCGGCCGAAGAACCAGACCGUAGAGGCAGGAGAGGCCCCCGGAGGAGCUCCGCCCUGGACCAGCCUUCCUUCCCGGCGGCUGCCUGGCACCCCACGCCCCACGCUGUGCCCCUGCACUCCUUCCUGGAUCGGGUUGAAGCCGCCAUCUGGAAUCCUCCACGAAGAGACCUGGACGUGCGGCCCAGCACCCCCCGGCUGGCCAAUCCCUCCACAGCCACGGGGACACCCUGCACACGUCCCCCCGGGACGGGCCGGACCCAAAGACUCUGGACCAGGGUGGCCCUCUGCGCGGAGGGGCGCGCCCUCCCGGCUUCUCCUUGCCUAGCCACCUGCCCUCUGACUGAUGGACAUCACUGAUCUGAGGCUCAGACACGUGGGCCGGACCCCCACCCACCCCUCGCGAGCCCCGAGACUCGGGGGGGCCGGCGAGCCUUCGCCGUCCGCGGCCGUGACGCGGCCCGGACACCUACCUCACAGGGUUGUUGUGAGGAUCGUGUAUGCGUUUUGACGGCACCUGACCUGGGGCUGGGCUCACCUUGCUGUGCUCUCAAUAAAUGUGUUUCUUGCCUUAACAAAAAGUGAUGGGUGUGCUACUAAUAUGAGGAGGCUGAGUGGCGGGUGCC